CCUAAGCACAUGCAAGUNCGCACGAGAAAGUGGAGCAAUCCCAUGNAGUACAGUGGCGUACGGGUGAGUAACACGUGGAUCAUCUACCUUCUAGGUGGGGAAUACCUCCGGGAAACUGGAGACAAUACCGCAUAAGCUCGUAAGAGGAAAGCAGCAAUGCGCUGUGAAGAGGAGUCCGCGGCUGAUUAGCUAGUUGGCGGGGUAACGGCCCGCCAAGGCGAANAUCGGUAGCCGGCCUGAGAGGGCACACGGCCACACUGGUCACUGAAACACGGGGCCAGACUCCUACGGUGAGGCAGCAGUGGGGAAUCUUGCNCAAUGGAGGAAACUCUGAUGGCAGCGACGCCCUGAUGGAACGAUGAAGCCCUUCGGGGUGUAAAGCUCCUUUUCNACGGGAACGAUAAUGACNGUACCCGAAGAANAAGCUGCAGCUAACUACGUGGCCACCNNCCGCGGUAAUACGUAGGGCAGGCNAGNCGUUGUUUCGGNAUUGACUGGGGCGUAAAGAAGUGUGUAGGCGGNUGCCGCCCAGNUCUGGGUGUGAACAUACUCCCNCNUCCAACCUGGGUAGGGUGCAUUAAAACACCUGGAA
rnacentral:rRNA from 1 species